GUUGAACGCUGGCGGCAGGCCUAAUACAUGCAAGUCGAGCGGACGGAGGGAGCUCGUUCCUGGCUUAUGUUAGCGGCGGACGGGUAAUGCAUAGGAGUAUGCCUUGUCUUUAAGACUGGGGUCAGUUCGCGAGCCCUUAUAUCACACCGGAUAAUAGUUUGAACGGCAGGGAUCUACGGACCAAGACCUUCUUGCUGUCCCUUAUUGGUGUAUCCGGGCUGCAUGAGCUAGUUGGUAAGGUAACGGCUUACCAAGGCAACGAUGCGUAGCUGACCUGAGAGGAUGAUCGGCCACACUGGAACUGAGACACGGUCCAGACUCCUACGGGAGGCAGCAGUGGGGAAUAUUGCGCAAAGGGCGAAAGCCUGAUGGAGCGACGCCGCGUGAGUGAAGAAGGUCUUCGGAUUGUAAAACUCUGUUAUUAGGGAAGAACAUAUGUGUGAUAAACCGUGCACAUCUUGACGGUACCUAAAGAAAAAGCAACGGCUAACUUCGUG
rnacentral:rRNA from 1 species